UACGGAGGGUGCGAGCGUUGUCCGGAAUCACUGGGCGUAAAGGGCGCGUAGGUGGCCUGUGGAAGUCUGCGGUGAAAGCCCGGCGCUCAACGCCGGGUCGGCCGUGGAUACUCUCGGGCUCGAGCUUACUAGAGGCAGAUGGAAUUCCCGGUGUAGUGGUGGAAUGCGUAGAUAUCGGGAGGAACACCAGUGGCGAAGGCGGUUGCCUGGGGCUUUGCUGACGCUGAUGCGCGAAAGCGUGGGGAGCGAUCCGG
rnacentral:rRNA from 1 species